AGAGUUUGAUCCUGGCUCAGGAUGAACGCUAGCGGGAGGCUUAAUACAUGCAAGUCGAACGGUAACAGUGCUGAACUUCGGUUUGGCAGCUGACGAGUGGCGCACGGGUGAGUAACGCGUACGCAAUCUACCUUCAAGUGAGGGAUAGCCCCGGGAAACUGGGAUUAAUAUCUCAUAGUGUUAUCGAGUGGCAUCGCUUGAUGACUAAAGCUGAGGCGCUUGAAGAUGAGCGUGCGUCCUAUUAGCUAGUUGGCGAGGUAACGGCUCACCAAGGCGACGAUAGGUAGGGGGCGUGAGAGCGUGACCCCCCACACGGGUACUGAGACACGGACCCGACACCUACGGGUGGCAGC
rnacentral:rRNA from 1 species